UACGUAGGGGGCGAGCGUUGUCCGAAGUUACUGGGCGUAAAGCGCGCGUAGGCGGUCAUUUAAGUUCGGGGUGAAAGGUUCAGCGCUCAACGCGAACAGUGCCUUGAAUACUGGGUGACUUGAGGCCGGGAGGGGGUAGCGGAAUUCCCAGUGUAGCGGUGAAAUGCGUAGAUAUUGGGAGGAACACCAGUGGCGAAGGCGGCUACCUGGACCGGUUCUGACGCUGAUGCGCGAAAGCGUGGGUAGCAAACAGG
rnacentral:rRNA from 1 species